UGCAGUCGAACGGCAGCACGGACUUCGGUCUGGUGGCGAGUGGCGAACGGGUGAGUAAUAUAUCGGAACGUACCCAGUAGUGGGGGAUAACUAUCCGAAAGGAUAGCUAAUACCGCAUACGAUCUAAGGAUGAAAGCAGGGGAUCUUCGGACCUUGUGCUAUUGGAGCGGCCGAUAUCUGAUUAGCUAGUUGGUGAGGUAAAAGCUCACCAAGGCGACGAUCAGUAGCUGGUCUGAGAGGACGACCAGCCACACUGGAACUGAGACACGGUCCAGACUCCUACGGGAGGCAGCAGUGGGGAAUUUUGGACAAUGGGCGCAAGCCUGAUCCAGCAAUGCCGCGUGAGUGAAGAAGGCCUUCGGGUUGUAAAGCUCUUUUGUCAGGGAAGAAAAGGUGCGCUCUAACAUAGCGUACUGAUGACGGUACCUGAAGAAUAAGCACCGGCUAACUACGUGCCAGCAGCCGCGGUAAUACGUAGGGUGCAAGCGUUAAUCGGAAUUACUGGGCGUAAAGCGUGCGCAGGCGGUUUUAUAAGUCUGAUGUGAAAUCCCCGGGCUCAACCUGGGAACUGCAUUGGAGACUGUAAGGCUAGAGUGUGUCAGAGGGGGGUAGAANUUCCACGUGUAGCAGUGAAAUGCGUAGAUAUGUGGAGGAAUACCGAUGGCGAAGGCAGCCCCCUGGGAUAACACUGACGCUCAUGCACGAAAGCGUGGGGAGCAAACAGGAUUAGAUACCCUGGUAGUCCACGCCCUAAACGAUGUCUACUAGUUGUCGGGACUUAAUUGUCUUGGUAACGCAGCUAACGCGUGAAGUAGACCGCCUGGGGAGUACGGUCGCAAGAUUAAAACUCAAAGGAAUUGACGGGGACCCGCACAAGCGGUGGAUGAUGUGGAUUAAUUCGAUGCAACGCGAAAAACCUUACCUACCCUUGACAUGGCAGGAAUUCCGAAGAGAUUUGGAAGUGCUCGCAAGAGAACCUGCACACAGGUGCUGCAUGGCUGUCGUCAGCUCGUGUCGUGAGAUGUUGGGUUAAGUCCCGCAACGAGCGCAACCCUUGUCAUUAGUUGCUACGAAAGGGCACUCUAAUGAGACUGCCGGUGACAAACCGGAGGAAGGUGGGGAUGACGUCAAGUCCUCAUGGCCCUUAUGGGUAGGGCUUCACACGUCAUACAAUGGUACAUACAGAGGGCCGCCAACCCGCGAGGGGGAGCUAAUCCCAGAAAGUGUAUCGUAGUCCGGAUUGUAGUCUGCAACUCGACUACAUGAAGUUGGAAUCGCUAGUAAUCGCGGAUCAGCAUGUCGCGGUGAAUACGUUCCCGGGUCUUGUACACACCGCCCGUCACACCAUGGGAGCGGGUUCUGCCAGAAGUAGGUAGCUUAACCGUAAGGAGGGCG
rnacentral:rRNA from 1 species